GACGGGGGGGGGCAAGUGUUCUUCGGAAUGACUGGGCGUAAAGGGCACGUAGGCGGUGAAUCGGGUUGAAAGUGAAAGUCGCCAAAAAACUGGUGGAAUGCUCUCGAAACCAAUUCACUUGAGUGAGACAGAGGAGAGUGGAAGUUUCGAUGUGUAGGGGUGAAAUCCGCAGAUCUACGAAGGAACGCCAAAAGCGAAGGACAGCUCUCUGGGUCCCUACCCGACGCUGGAGUGCGAAAGCUAGGGGAGCGAACGGG
rnacentral:rRNA from 1 species